UCCUCUUUCUGUUUUCAAGGCUUAUGUAAACACUGGGAACAACACCACCUCCAGGAAUUGUAGCUUUGAAUGAGCUUGUCAAGUUCCUCAUCACUGUGUAUAGCAAACUGCAUGUCUCGGUGUCAUUGUCUUCACCUUCAUAUCUUUGUCGCAACUGUCUUGGCUGGCUGUAAAUGUUUGCAUUAUAGCUUGCUGUGAUGAUGUUGAACAUAUAUUCUACCGGUCUCUCAACUUGCCAUUAUUCUGGAACUUAUGUUAAUAUCGAGAUAAUAUAAGCAACAAGUUGCAUCCUUUGGGUUUUAUUAUUGAGAUUUCCGUACUAGUUGGUUUUUGCUGUCUUUUAAAAUUUUAUUAUUACUGUAUGUUUCUUUAGUAGACAAGUAGAGCAAUGCCAGAAUCCCAUGUUUAUGACAUUCAAGAUGUUAUCUGCUCAGAAGACAAAACUUAGAUACCUAUGUUUCUUCAUGGACACCAACACUUUGUGAACUGUAUAACAUCAAGUAAAGUGUAAUGUAUACAUAUUAUAGAGUUGUCAGUGUGAUUAUUUAAAAAAGGGUUAACAAUUAUUCAUACAUCCAGUUCUGCGACUGUCUCCGUUUACCUUUCCCCCUCACCUGACCUAUUAUCAGUUUUCUAGUACUCGUGAAGCAACUUGAGUUGGAUCAUGGCCGUCACUUUAGGUUCUUGUGCUCCUGUCUUUUUCUACACUGGUUAAUACAUGAAGAUAAUUUUCUUGAGGCAGAAAAGACAGCUUGUUAGACAGAUAAGGCAGAUAAAUUUACUUGCUUAGUGCAAGUGAAUUUUGGGGAUAUAGUUCUUGGGUUUCAUUCAUUCUACAAAUUUUAUUUUUUGUGUGAAUAACAAACAUAGACCAUGGGCUUCCUCUUUUUUCCCCUCAUUGUUCCUCCGAAACCACAUUAUUGGCACUUGGAACUUAUUUAUUCCCUACUCGGUCUUGAAAUAUGCAGGAGAAACUUCAUCAAUGGCAGUGGAAAAAAAAUCAUUUUUUAUAUGUAUAUAUCCUACAGUUCCUGUUAGUUUUUUUUUUUUUUUGUUAUCAUCGGUUAGAAGCUACAGGUCUAUUUGUAUGCAAUUCUGCAUAUGUACAUAGAGGAAAGAUGAGUGAUAUAACUCAAGGAUGAAGAAGAUGAGUUUAUCAAUUUACCGGGUUGGAUAUUGUUUCAACUACUAAUUGAUUAAAUAGGGAAUAUCUAGUGAUAUGUUUUGCUUUAUGAUCUUAAUUUGAAGCCGUGCACUGGAUGCAAGAGUUUCUUUUGAAGCCUAUCAGCACUAUCUCUGAAUUGAAGUUCAGUUAGUUUGUUAAUGGUGCAUAUAUUCUUACUCAUUUGGUUAAUCUUAAGUAAUUUACCUUUCUUAAGUAAUCCUGUGGGAAUGGGGGAAGAACCUUAAUCAAAUGAUUUUCGACUUGAAAGAUACUUCCACCUCUAUUUAAGGUUGGUGUAUCUAAAAUCUGCAAAACUAGCUAGAUGUUGCUGCAAAGGGUGUGUAAUGUCCAAAUAGGGAUGGGCAUCGGGCCCCUUCGGGUCGGGGAUUGCUAUACCCGGCCCCGAUCCCCGAAUCCAAACUCAAUCCCCAUCCCCGGCCCGAUCCUCAUCGGGGAUUAUUUUUCGAUCCCCAUCCCCGGCCCGAUCGGGAUUCGGGGAUACCCGCGGUGAUUCGGGGAUUUUUAAUUUAAGCUAAAAUUUCUUUUUAAAUACUUAAAUUCAUAAUUACGAUUAGUUUCUAAUAUGUCUAAUUAAUAUCUAAUCAUUUAAAUAAAUAGAUCUUCAAUGAUUUAAUUAUGACCUUUUUAGUUUUAAAACUUAUAUUAAUAGAAAUAAGUAUUAAAAUUUAUUUCAAUAAAUUUAAUUAUAUUAAAGACGUAUAUGUUAAUAAAUGAUUAUAAAAAUGUGAAAAUAAGUUGACCUAAAGAGGUAUAUAAAUAUGUUAAUAAAUGAUUAUAAUAUAUAUGUAUAUAUUUAUAUAAUAUAUAAUAUAAUAAUCGGAUUGGGGAUCGGGUCGACAAUCGGAGAAAAUCGGGUCGGGGUUCGAGGAUCGGGCCGGGGGAAUGUGAAAAACCGUACCCGACCCGAUCUCCGAUUUUUUUUCAAAGUCAUCCCCGUUCCCCGGCCCGUACCCGAAAAAAUCCCCGAAUCCCCGCACCAUUCGGUGCGGGGAUCGGGUCGGGAUCGGGCGGGUCGGGAUUAAUGCCCAUCCCUAUGUCCAAUACUGUCUUCUGUUUGGAGAUAGGAAUAGGUUCCGUAGCACGGAGAAUGAUGAGAGAGGAUAGAAAACAAUAGAGUGAUGGAAGGAGCUGAACCGCAUGGAAGAAACCAAGAAUCGUCUGACCUGUUUCUUAGGAAGAAGCCAUUUGAGGAGUUGGGAGACAAACAGAAAGUUGUUGUGCUCAUUACUUUUGCCUCAGCUCUUUGAAUGUAGCACUUGAACAUUGUGUGUUUUGGUUUGAUGAGUUUGUGUUAUGAGCAAUCACAGUUUUGUGUCUUUUGUGGAAACUGUUUUGUUGUCUUGGCGUUUCUGCAACUGCUUAAAUUCCUUUUCAUGUUGUAGAGAAGCUCUCUUAAGGAUGGUUGCUAGUUGCGUGCUAG
rnacentral:lncRNA from 1 species